rnacentral:rRNA from 1 species
GGGUUGUGAGGUUAAGCGACUAAGCGUACACGGUGGAUGCCCUGGCAGUCAGAGGCGAUGAAGGGCGUGCUAAUCUGCGAUAAGCGCCGGUAAGGUGAUAUGAACCGUUAUAACCGGCGAUACCCGAAUGGGGAAACCCAGUGUGAUUCGUCACACUAUCAUUAACUGAAUCCAUAGGUUAAUGAGGCGAACCGGGGGAACUGAAACAUCUAAGUACCCCGAGGAAAAGAAAUCAACCGAGAUUCCCCCAGUAGCGGCGAGCGAACGGGGAGGAGCCCAGAGCCUGAAUCAGCAUGUGUGUUAGUGGAAGCGUCUGGAAAGGCGCGCGAUACAGGGUGACAGCCCCGUACACAAAAGCGCAUGUGCUGUGAGCUCGAUGAGUAGGGCGGGACACGUGGUAUCCUGUCUGAAUAUGGGGGGACCAUCCUCCAAGGCUAAAUACUCCUGACUGACCGAUAGUGAACCAGUACCGUGAGGGAAAGGCGAAAAGAACCCCGGCGAGGGGAGUGAAAAAGAACCUGAAACCGUGUACGUACAAGCAGUGGGAGCACAGGUUUACCUGUGUGACUGCGUACCUUUUGUAUAAUGGGUCAGCGACUUAUAUUCUGUAGCAAGGUUAACCGAAUAGGGGAGCCGGAGGGAAACCGAGUCUUAAUUGGGCGUUAAGUUGCAGGGUAUAGACCCGAAACCCGGUGAUCUAGCCAUGGGCAGGUUGAAGGUUGGGUAACACUAACUGGAGGACCGAACCGACUAAUGUUGAAAAAUUAGCGGAUGACCUGUGGCUGGGGGUGAAAGGCCAAUCAAACCGGGAGAUAGCUGGUUCUCCCCGAAAGCUAUUUAGGUAGCGCCUCGUGAAUUCAUCUCCGGGGGUAGAGCACUGUUUCGGCUAGGGGGCCAUCCCGGCUUACCAACCCGAUGCAAACUGCGAAUACCGGAGAAUGUUAUCACGGGAGACACACGGCGGGUGCUAACGUCCGUCGUGAAGAGGGAAACAACCCAGACCGCCAGCUAAGGUCCCAAAGUCAUGGUUAAGUGGGAAACGAUGUGGGAAGGCCCAGACAGCCAGGAUGUUGGCUUAGAAGCAGCCAUCAUUUAAAGAAAGCGUAAUAGCUCACUGGUCGAGUCGGCCUGCGCGGAAGAUGUAACGGGGCUAAACCAUGCACCGAAGCUGCGGCAGCGANNGUUGGGUAGGGGAGCGUUCUGUAAGCCUGUGAAGGUGGCCUGUGAGGGUUGCUGGAGGUAUCAGAAGUGCGAAUGCUGACAUAAGUAACGAUAAAGCGGGUGAAAAGCCCGCUCGCCGGAAGACCAAGGGUUCCUGUCCAACGUUAAUCGGGGCAGGGUGAGUCGACCCCUAAGGCGAGGCCGAAAGGCGUAGUCGAUGGGAAACGGGUUAAUAUUCCCGUACUUGGUGUUACUGCGAAGGGGGGACGGAGAAGGCUAUGUUGGCCGGGCGACGGUUGUCCCGGUUUAAGCGUGUAGGUGUGUGUUCCAGGUAAAUCCGGUUCACUUUAACACUGAGGCGUGAUGACGAGGCACUACGGUGCUGAAGUAACAAAUGCCCUGCUUCCAGGAAAAGCCUCUAAGCAUCAGGUAACAUCAAAUCGUACCCCAAACCGACACAGGUGGUCAGGUAGAGAAUACCAAGGCGCUUGAGAGAACUCGGGUGAAGGAACUAGGCAAAAUGGUGCCGUAACUUCGGGAGAAGGCACGCUGACACGUAGGUGAAGUGAUUUACUCACGGAGCUGAAGUCAGUCGAAGAUACCAGCUGGCUGCAACUGUUUAUUAAAAACACAGCACUGUGCAAACACGAAAGUGGACGUAUACGGUGUGACGCCUGCCCGGUGCCGGAAGGUUAAUUGAUGGGGUCAGCGCAAGCGAAGCUCCUGAUCGAAGCCCCGGUAAACGGCGGCCGUAACUAUAACGGUCCUAAGGUAGCGAAAUUCCUUGUCGGGUAAGUUCCGACCUGCACGAAUGGCGUAAUGAUGGCCAGGCUGUCUCCACCCGAGACUCAGUGAAAUUGAACUCGCUGUGAAGAUGCAGUGUACCCGCGGCAAGACGGAAAGACCCCGUGAACCUUUACUAUAGCUUGACACUGAACAUUGAGCCUUGAUGUGUAGGAUAGGUGGGAGGCUUUGAAGNNNNNNNNCCGGGUUGCGGACAGUGUCUGGUGGGUAGUUUGACUGGGGCGGUCUCCUCCUAAAGAGUAACGGAGGAGCACGAAGGUUGGCUAAUCCUGGUCGGACAUCAGGAGGUUAGUGCAAUGGCAUAAGCCAGCUUGACUGCGAGCGUGACGGCGCGAGCAGGUGCGAAAGCAGGUCAUAGUGAUCCGGUGGUUCUGAAUGGAAGGGCCAUCGCUCAACGGAUAAAAGGUACUCCGGGGAUAACAGGCUGAUACCGCCCAAGAGUUCAUAUCGACGGCGGUGUUUGGCACCUCGAUGUCGGCUCAUCACAUCCUGGGGCUGAAGUAGGUCCCAAGGGUAUGGCUGUUCGCCAUUUAAAGUGGUACGCGAGCUGGGUUUAGAACGUCGUGAGACAGUUCGGUCCCUAUCUGCCGUGGGCGCUGGAGAACUGAGGGGGGCUGCUCCUAGUACGAGAGGACCGGAGUGGACGCAUCACUGGUGUUCGGGUUGUCAUGCCAAUGGCACUGCCCGGUAGCUAAAUGCGGAAGAGAUAAGUGCUGAAAGCAUCUAAGCACGAAACUUGCCCCGAGAUGAGUUCUCCCUGAGACUU